AUGAAAACAUCCUUGGCAAAUGC
rnacentral:siRNA from 1 species